rnacentral:lncRNA from 1 species
UUCAAACCAGUGAUGUGCCCAUGAAUGGGAAGCAGUAUGGGUAAAGUGUGGCCCCAAGAAGCCAUAAGUUUCCGCCUGGGUAUGUUGUCCCAGAACACUUUUAUGCCAAGUCAGCCCCAUUGUCUGUGAGGGUGCCUGUAUCUCUGAAGAUUUCAGCACUGCCCUUUGGCCCUGCAUGGUUCAUGGUCAAGCCCCUUAUCACAACCUCUUUCAUGAUUUGCAGUUAGUUAUCAUCUCUUCAAGGGACUCUGAUAAGCAGGUACAGAAAACUCCUAAAACUACUUCUCAAGGUAGAGAAAAGAAUAGUUUGGCUUUGGCAUGCUUCUGUGAAGAUGACAGAGUUUCUUCUCUUUAUCUUUUUUAAUUUAACUAAUUAUUUAUUUAUGUGAGAGAGAGAGAGAGAGAGAGAAUGAGGAGGGGAGGAUGCAGAGGAAAAGGGAGAAGCAGGCUCCUCACUGAGCAGAGAGCUGGAUGCAGGGCUCCAUACCAGGACCCCAAGAUCAUGACUCUGGAACCCAAGGUAGAUGCUUAACUGAGACCCCAGGAACCCCCUCUUUUUCUUAUCAGUUGAUACUUUCCUAAAAGGAAGGAAGUAUUGUAUUUAUUCAAUCAUCUCUUCCUUGAACUCUACUUUAUCUACAGCAUUCAUGCUUCAUCUUGCCAUUCUUUCACCAUCCCUAGUGAAGAUCUAUAUUUUUUUCUAUUUUUUGUUACCUAGUGAAGAUCUAUAUUUACUUUUGCUCUCUUACUUUAUCAAUUUCUGAAAAUUUCUAUAAACCAAAGCAGCAGCAUUACUGCAGUGUUCUGUCUUUAAGCAGCGCAGUCUGUUGUUAAGCAGUCUCUAGUAAUGCAUCAUGCACAAGUUAGUAGCCAUUUGUAUUUUCCUUUGUUCAUUUACUUGCCCCUUAUCCUUUCACUAAAUAUCUAUGGAGUGCCUUUGAUGUGUGUUGGACAAAAUAGAAAUUGAGAAAAAAAACAAAAAAUACUCACCAGCACUUCAUAAAUCCUCUGAAGAUAAACAAAAAUGUUUUAAAGAAUUUGAUGAUAGUUUUCGAGGCCAAUUUUAUUUAGUCUGCAUUUCUAUCAGCCAUAAAUAUUGUUAAGCGAUGAUUAUCUGCUUUGUUCCUGACCAGGGAAAUUGAAUUUUAUGAGCUGCUGAUGAGAUUGAUUUUUCUAAGAAAAGAACAUUGGUCAGUUGUUUGAGAAGAUUUCUCUUUUUUUCCUGAUGGUUACAUUUUGAAAGGGGAAUAUAUGUGCCCCUAAGAAGAUUUAAAGAUUUGAGUAUUUUUAUAAUAAUCCCACCACAAUACAUGAGAGGGAAUAUAAAAUGAUUUCAUGUAAUCCCAUAGGUGAACUAGUAAGAAUGUAUUUUAUAGACUCCUAAAACAAAUCCUUCCAUUUCGUGAGUUCUUUGGAGAAAAUAUGCCAUGUAAAGCCAAUAAACAUAUAAAUAAGUAAUAGACUGAUGAAGCUAUCAGGUGGAAAAUCCAAAAGGUGGGUGAUGGCUCCACACUAUGGGUCUAGUGCGUUUGCUGCUGUCUUGAGGAAAGAAGGAACCACAUUUAGAAGUGGGCUAUUACGGUGCUUUCUUUCUCUGCCCAAUGCAGACAGCUCUAAUCAGGGAACUAUGACUUUGAUUCUCACUCUAGGACUCAGUUGCAGAAAGUUCCAAGUGCCAAGUAAAAAUGAACUGGGGAGUCUGGUCCUCUUCAGCUCGCCAGGGAGUACAGGCCUGGAAAUUGCUUUGGCAGACAUAGGAUAUCACUGAGUGUCUCAGACCUUUGAACCCUUUUUAGAUUAAUGCAUGCAAACUGAAUGACACAGGUCAAUGGAUGGCUAAGGGCCAGAGUGCAUCCAAAUAAACCAAUACUGAUAAAAUGAUUAAAUAAAAGAUAGCUAUAAUGAGGUCUCAUAAGCAGUUCUCCUGCAGUGUCAAAAGGGGUAAAAUCAGAUAGUUAUGUGGUUAAGAUUAGAAAAACAGUAGGAAAUACAGUGACAGGCAACCUGAGUUUCUCUUUGCUACUCAUGGAAACUCCUAGAGGCAACUAAACUGUCAGUCUCAGUAACUGACAUGUGUAUAUGAAAGAGAUUUUUCAUAUCAAUGAGUGCUAUUAUAAUUCAAGAAAAUUUAGGUCUGCAAAUUACCUUAGAACUCCUCAGGGACAGUAGGCCUCACAUCUCCUUCACAGUCAAACCUUUUGUUCAAAUAGCAUCUCAUGUUAAAGCCUAGUGGAUUAAACUAAUAAAACUGGAGUUGCUCAGGCCUCAGAUAGGAAUCCUGACCUCACCAUAGGCCUCUGGGUAAUCACAGCUGAGCUGCGAGAGCUCCAAGGAACACAGUUUGAAGAACCGAACUGACUGGUAUAGGACCACCUAGCUAGACAGAGGCAGAGCUGAAACUAGAAGAUAGGUAACAUGUUUUGAUGUCUAAACAAUGUAUCAGUAAUUUUCAAACUUUAAUGAGUACAUGAAUCACUUAAAACUCUUAUUAAAAUGCAGAUACAAUUCAAUGGGUCCCAGAGAGUCCUGAGAUUCUCCAUUUCUAACUUGCUCCCAGGUAAUGUCAAUGCUACUGGUCCAAGAGCACCCUUGGAAAACCAAGGCUUUCUACUUCACCAUGUUGCCAGAAACUGAGCAAGCAUCCUAGAAAGUAAUUUAACCUAAAAUAUAAACCAACUUCAGGAAAGUCAUUCACUCAGAACUUCUGUCUUCAUCAUCCUGACUAGUCUACUUCAAAACAGAAGGAAAAUAAGCAGAGAGGAAAGGUUCUAAAUGGUCCACUAACUGAUCCUCAGAGAAUUAAUAAGAAACUGGAAUGACUCACACUGAGAUGGAUUAUUUCUGAAAUUAUAAAACCAAGUUUGAAAAUCCUGAAUAUACAUAAAAUAUAUAUACAAUGCAUAUAUAGUAUAUAUAUACAUUAUAUAUCAUUAUAUACACGUACAUAUUUUAGAGAGAAAGAGAGGCUCUAUAAUGGAAUGAGUGUAGAAAUGAAAGGCUGACAACUGCCCUUAGAAGCAUUGCCCAGUGGAUAAAGCUAACCUCAGAGAUCCUCCACAUUCCCUUUGUGGCUUCCCACUUCUGAGCACUCACCCUCCUGAAGCCUCCCCCUUGGAGCCUGGCACUCAACUCACCAAGUUACAUAGUACAAAGCUUUUCUAUCAAAUGUCUACUGUUCCUUACCCCUGCAAUCAGACUUGACAUAUCUGAGGCAGCUGAUCAAAUAAUUUGCAGGUUAAAAAUAGCUUAAUGUGUUUUCAUCUCAAGACAGUAUUUGGAUUCACAUAAUGACCUUAGAAACUUUAAUGCAAAUUAGUGGUAAAAUAUGAAUUAAAUGUUUCACAGGCUUUCUUGUAGUUUGUAUUAUCAUACCAUGAAGACAGAUGCUUAUUCCUCAGUGGUAGUAUCUUUACUCAACCAUGGAACAGAUAGACCCUUUAAAGACAGGUUAUAUUCCCCAGACCCUAAGAACUUGGUUAUUGCUUGUGGUAUCAAAUUCAUAAUGGAAACUUAAAUGAAUAGCCAUGCAAUAAACAUCUCAUUAACAAUGACAAGGAUACGGAAUGCCAUAGUUUGGAGAAGAGCCACAUUUUGAGAAGGUGAUGGAGAACUGAUUGUAUUGACUUUUAUUCACCAAAGUUGCUGUGAAUGCAACAUAAUAAGAGGAAUUUUUUUCAUACCCAUUUGACAGUAUCUGUAUGUAAAUCAAACACAUGGCUUUCAAAAAUUCCUAAAACAGAUUUUACCCAAAGAUUUUGUUUCUCUUAGUUCCAACAUCAGUAGUUCAUGAAAACAAAACAAAACAAAAAUGUGUAAAAGUCCUAUACUUUAUUACAAAACCAUUCUAGUUUAUUUAUAUUUUUAAAUGAGAUACUCUCUUCUGAGUUUUAUGUGGUAAACCAGUUUACACUAUUUAGAAGCUGACAUUGAUACUGCUUUCUCAUAAUUUGGUAAAGUGCAAGUAAAACAUUUGAAUAAUGAAAGAAAGGCAUUUUCUCCUCAAUACAUUAAGUAAAAGCAAAUCACUAACUUAUUAUCCUGUUUCCAUGGGAACCUAAGUAUAGAGCCAGUCUAAUACAAGGCAUUUCUCCUGGUGUACAUUUUUCCACCUUCUCAUUCCAAUCUACUUUUGAUUGCUGUCCAAAGGCUAAAGAGUUAGUGCUGAGAACCAAAUGAUCACCUUUGCUCAUCUUUUCCAGGCUGAGAGAGCUGCAGCAGUACCUAAAACAGAAAACAGCAGCACCUCAUCCAGCGGGGAUGGAGGAAGGGCUUUGAAGAAAAAAAAAAGAUUGCCUUAAUAAAUCCGAAAGACUUGAAAUUUUGAAAUUAAAUUUGGACUUCUGAACUCCAUCUCCAAUAUAUCUUAAAUUGUGUGCGAAGCAUGCCUCUGUGUGGUAUAUCUGGCAGCAUGCUACAGGGCAUGUCCUCCUCCACCCUUACCAACUUUAACCAGAGGUUUUUUUUGGUUUGUUUUUUGUUUUGUUUUUAAGAGAGAAAGAGAACAUGCUCUCAAGGUGCAGAGGAAAAAGGAGAAAUAAAAUAAAAUCUUAAGCAGGCUCCAUGCUUAGUGGUGGAGUCCAAUUGAGGCUCAAUCCCACAACCCUGAGAUCAUGACCUGAGCCAAAAUCUAGAGUCCCACACUUAACCGACUGAGCCACCCACUCAGAUGUCCCCAGAGUAGAAUUAUUUAGGUGAUUGGGAAGGGGGAGGCCAGAUACGGUUAUUCUCAAAGUUGGUCACUGGGCCAGCAAUAUCAGCACCAGGGACAUGUUAAAAUGUCAUGUUAAAAAUGCAAAUUUUUGGGCUUUGCCUCAAUUCUAGCAAAUCAAAGACUCAGGAGGGGCCAGCAGCAUGUUUUAACAAACCCUCUGGGUAGUUCUAUUGCAUGCCACACAAUCACCAGUUAUUCAACUAUGAGAACAGGGACUUGCAGGGACACACAAACUUUCACUUGGAGCUAAAUGACUCUCAGCAUGCAGAGAAAGAAUAUCUAGAAUUAAUGUCUCAUCCACAGCAUCUGUACUGAGAGAUGUUCCUAAGGAAACUAAAUAUCCUGGUGAUAUUUAAUAUUUAAUGCUAGAAAGAGGAGAAUGUGAGGGGUGGGGUUGUGGAUUAAGAUUCAAUCAUAAAAAGAAAAGAAGAAAAAUGAGCAAACCAAUUCUUACAUCAUUUUGGACUUUCUCUUUCAAUAAAAUUGGUUUGGGGACAAUCUCUGAUUCCAAACGGUAACUAAACAACUGUUUGUUGUUUGCAUUUAUGUAUGUAUGUAUGUACGUAUGUAUGUAUAUUCUUUUAUUGGAGUUCGAUUUGCCAACAUAUAGUAUGACACCCAGUGCUCAUCCCAUCCCACCAUUUGCUUUGAUGUGGAUGGAACUGGAGGGUUUUAUGCUGAGUGAAGUAAGUCAAUCGGAGAGGACAAACAUUAUAUGGUUUCACUCAUAUGGGGAAUAUAAAAAAUAGUGAAAGGGAUCAGAGGGUAAACAACUGUUUGUAUACACAGUAUUUGAAUUUAGGCUUUCCAGGGUGCAUGCUGUACUAUUUUCUACCCAUCUGGGGAAACAGACUCCUUUGUUUGCGUCUGAAUCAGAAUUUUAUUUUCAGGAAAAACAGUAUCAGAAUGCAAUGCACCAAAAUAUCCUGUUUAAUCUGGCCUGCUUUUGUUGGAAUACCACACAGAAGCUAGAUGCCCAUUGCAGAGGUGCUACAAAGGGAUUCUCUGGCAAACUAGAAGCCUGGGCCUCAGAACCUCAUAGGCUCCUUCCAACUCUAAAAUCCUCUCAUCUCAAGACAAAGUAGGCUCUGAGAGGACACAAGGGCUAUCAUUCUCAAUGUUCACUGUUAUCAUCAAACUCUGUGGGUACAGAAUGUUGGAAAGUAAAGACGACCCUAAGCUAAGAUUGGAAUUGUCUUAGGACUAAGUUCUCAUUUCACAUAUGUUUCUUAUCUCUUUGCCUCCUUCUCUUUAAGGAGCAUGAAGAAAAAGAAGAUCUGAUUAUUGAAAGGCUGGCAUCUAGAGUCUGGUUAAUCAGAUAUCUACCGAAUUAUACCGUAGCAUGCUGUAUAAUACUGCUUACGCACGAUUUGCUUUUCCUUACUACCAGCAAUGAGUGAAUGCUCUCGAGUAUUCUUGGGGAAUAAGACUGUGAUGCUUUGUGAUUCCUCUUAGUGUUACAGGGAAUAAGGCCACACACUCUGACGAGAACCUGUACCUGCUUUUCUCUGGCUUUCACUAUGGAACAUUUGUACUUCCUAUAGGUACAAAGGGUAGGCAGUCCCAAGAUGUGCCACUUUGGCAUGAAGGUUAUUUUGAGUUAAAAAGCAAAUUAAGGAAAAGCACUUUACCUCCUUUACAAUUGCCUGAUGAGAAUUUAGGGAGAAGAAUUGCUCCAGGAAGGGAGCUAUCAUCACCAUAGAUACCUACAUUACACAUGAACCAGGUAUGGCAGGUAAGAAGGGACCCAGCAAGGCCUGUUUGAUCAAAGUCCUCUUGGUCCCAUUGUUACUGAAUGGCUCAGCAAACAUUUGUUUAUCAAACAUUUACAUUUGUUACCUUUCAAGCCCCAGAUUCCUGUCCUUUUCUCUUAGUUCAGAAUCAUACAUAUACCUCAUUUUGCCUGUCUUUGGAAUUUCUAUGUCUGUGUGUAUUCCCCGUAUGUUCAAAAUUAAAUUUUAUUUUAUUUUACUUUUUUUGCUAAUUAGUCUGUUUCAUGUCAAUUUGAUUCUUAGCCUGGCUAGAAGGACCUUGAAAGGGACAGGAGGGGAUCCCUGGGUGGCUCAGUGGUUUAGCACCUGCCUUAGGCCCAGGGUGUGAUCCUGGAGUCCCACAUCAGGCUCCCUGCAUGGAGCCUGCUUCUCCCUCUGCCUGUGUCUCUGCCUCCGUCUCUCUCUUUCAUGAAUAAAUAAAAAAAGUCUUUAAAAAAAA